UAAAGAGUGCGUAACAGCUCACUGGUCGAGCGGCAGAGCAUCGAUAAUAAACGGGCAUCAAGAAUAGUACCGAAGCUUUGGGAUUGCAGCAAUGCAAUCGGUAGAGGAGCAUUCCAAACAGCGGCGAAGGCGAAUCGUAAGGUUUGUUGGAGCGUUUGGAAAAGCAAAUGUAGGCAUAAGUAACGAUAAAAUAGGUGAGAAACCUAUUCGCCGAUAGACUAAGGUUUCCUGAUCAACGUUAAUCGGAUCAGGGUUAGUCGGGACCUAAGGAAAAGCCGAAAGGUGUAUUCGAUGGACAACUGGUUAAUAUUCCAGUACUUGCAUUAAGAGCGAUGGAGAGACGGAGUAGUGAAAGGUCUGCGCACGGACGGAAGUGUGCGUUAAAGCCAGUAGGUAUAAGUUUUGUAGGAAAAUCCGCAAGACUUGCUGAAGGUGAUAGUACCGUGAGGCUUCGGCCAAAUGGAUAAUGACCCUAAACAGACUUCCAAGAAAAUCUUCUAAGCAUAUUUUAAUGGAACCCGUACCGCAAACCGACACAGGUAGUCAAGGAGAGAAUCCUGAGGCGCUCGAGUGAAUCACGGCCAAGGAACUCGGCAAAAUAACCCUGUAACUUCGGGAGAAGGGGAGCCUACCCAGCGAUGGGAGGUCGCAGAGAAAUGGCCCACGGCGACCCGGCCGGGCGGCCGCAGCCGGC
rnacentral:rRNA from 1 species